AAAAAAUUUGUAAUUUAAACAUUUAUCGAUCUUUUUAAGUUAAUAAAUAAUAGAAUAAUAAAUCACAAAUAAUUUUUGCUGCUGCAGUAUAAGUUAGAAUGCUUGUUGUGCAGUGGGACCGCCAUAGUUUUGACAGCAUAUCCUAACUAUGUUCAGUAAUUGGUUCACAGUUUGUCCCGACUGCACCUCAAAUCACUAUCCUUGUGUACGAACCAGCACUGCUGUCACAAGUCCUGUCUCCAGACAUCUCUUCCUUUUUCUCCUCUUAGGGACAUAUAUUUUCUCAGGCAUGUUAGUCUCAGCCUCUAGCUGCAGUUCAUCCACAAAUACAUUGGAUAUGAAGACUAGUCACUCUGAUCACUCUGCCAGUGUCAUGUUUCUUGCAUGAGAGACCCCAUGCAGCAACAACUAUGGACAACAAUAAGAGGUUUAAACUGUGUAUUGACAAACAAGAAUAACUUAAUGUUUCUUCUGGGAUAAAGGGAAGAUUUCAGGACAACACUGAGGAAAGAAGGUAAGUGAUUACCGCAGGAAAUAAUAUCUGAUAGUUGAUCAUGAAUGUGAAGAGGUGGAAAUCUUACUGUUUUUGUGAAUGUGAAGUUUCCAGGGAGUAGGUGAGUAUAACAACGGAGGCCGAGGUUGGCAUGUUGUUUUUAUGAUGAUUUGUUUUUUUUCCAGGGGAAAAUGGAGAUGAUGGAUGAAUGUUUCAGGGCGAGUGCUAAUGGCAGAUUGUGGAGGUGUCCAGAAAGUUACUCCUGAAAGAGGAUCCAGAGGAGCGGAGCUAGGGGAGCUGAUCCAGUGAUGUGGCCAGUGGAGUGGCCAAAGGCAAAGAUAACCUUUACCACAAUUCUUACCAUAAAACAUUGCGUAAUUAUUGAUUAUAUGGCAUAUUCAGAUGAGAAUCCAAUAUUCAAGUUAAAUAGAGGAAAGACAUCAACCUCAUUACAGAAUGAUGUGAGAAAAACUAUGCAAUAGGUAUGACUGUAAACGCAACCAGCUACAGCAUGUGCAAAUGGAAAUUAGCAUGACAGAGUGUAAAUGGUUAUUGAUCAGAUCAAGAAUCUGUGCAACAAUUACCAAGUUUGUAAACACUUAUUGAGCGGUUUCCUGGAAGGAGGGCAACAACAAGGUAAGCUAGGAGCUUAGGAAGAAAUAUAUUAGCAAGCCACAAUGAAGCCUAAUUACCACUUGGCCAACAAAAGGCAAUCUGGCAUCUGCCUCAGGGGAUGCAGCUGAGGGGACGCACCCUCCAGUCAUGCCAUGUAAUGAGCGAAGUAAGGCAAACGUGCACAUGCAUCAAGUCAGCCCUUAUAAAAUGUGGAAGACGCUUUCUAAAAGCCAUCUGAAUAACAUCACAAAAGGCAACAUCCAGUAUUCCCUUGUAGGGAAUAUUUAGCCUAUUUUCAUUUUCAGCUUUUUCCCCAUUUGCUUUAGAAUUUGGGUUUUGCACAUUGAUUGAAAAAAAUGUCAUUGUAAUCAGAGCCAUAGUGAGCCAGGUUCCCAUUAUAGGUAACUGCUUACUGUAACAACUUCAGUGUAAUAACAAGGGGUAAUCACCCAUGGCACAGAAGAAGUGUUUGUUUUUGCAAAGGACCUGCUCUGAUUGUUAAAAGUGCCUGACAGUAUUAUGGAAAUGAUCUGUUUUUGCUUAUGAUUUGCUGGCACGAACCCCGGUCCUGUCUUAACAGGCACUGUUUGUGAUGUUUGCAAACUGUAAAGCUGCAUUGAUUCUAAUCAGAACUUUUCCUUUUGCCAUGUCUUCAGACAAAAAGGGACACGUGCUUGUGUUAAUUUGAGGGCUAUCAGAGUAAAGAGAAGAUUAGGAAAGAGAACCUCAGCUAGUGAAGAAUUGACUUCAGUAAAAUUACCUUCAGUCAGUCUGAAGCAGGUCUCAUUGAUCUUGAUAUAGCACUAUAGCACUUGUUUUCUUCAAAAUAAGAUACAGUGGCAUACCAUUUCUUGUCCUUUUUGUACUCACUCAGCAGUACUGACUCAUUUGAAAAUGACCACAGGGAACUCAGUAGUCUGCAAGGUACAAUGUGAAGAUGGGAUUUAUUUUUCUUUCUUUUUUUUAUCCACAGCUGUAUAUGCUCCAGCCCCAAAUUGGAACCGUGAAAGCUGUGCAAAGUUUUUAUUUUGUCUCUGCAGUUUUCCAAAAGUACAAAGUUGAAUCAGUUCUCACAAAGCUAAAUUUCUAUUCCCGCCAGGCAGAAUGCAGCACACCUACCUCUGGUGCAAUUCACAUAUGGGCUGUUGUCUUCUUGAAAUAACUCACCGUCCACCUUAUUAUAGUUCUUUCACUAAUGCAAAUUCAGUCCAGAAGUUUUUUUUUUCCUUUAUUUUUUACCUCCUGACAAAUGCUGUUGCGUAUACCUUUCCAGUUGCUUUUAACAGCAGUUCCCUUCCCAUGAUUGCACAAAGUGAGUGGAUGUGUGUUCUGACAUCGCUGUGAUUGGCUCUUGAUUGAUGUAGUCAGAGCUGGUAUCGUCGUGACAUUGAAGUGUCUUUCUUGAGUGUUUACAAAGCUUUGAUUUGGCAUCAUUCUUUGCAGAGAAAAAACAGGUAAGCUCUUUUUUUUUAAACCAGUUGCUUCUUAAAAUAUCUUACUUGAUAAAAGAGCAGUAUGACCCCAAUAAUUGCUUUGUCCUUUUUAUUAUAGCAGGCAUUUGUGAAACUGUUGCCAUCUUCUUUCAUUUUCACUGAACUAACAAGGUUAUUGCUGUAGUUGUAAUCAAAUAAUUGUUUCCUCAUUUGUUCUGCAUGGUUCAUUAUCCUUGCUUCACCACUGUCCCUAUCUUGUAGGUCCCAUGACAAGCAAGCCUGAGAGAGCGCCUCUCUGUGCCGUUUCACGCUGAUAUCAGAAAAGCGUUUCUGUUCCGGUUGCGAACAUUUUGACUUUGCAAGAACAGAGAACACGUCUGUUUAUAGUUGCAUUUAAGGAUGUCAUGCUGUCUCAAAAGAGAUAUUUCUUCUCUGCUCGUCCCUCAUCUUGUGAACGUCAGAGAUGAUGACUGAAGCGAGGCCUCGGGGGGCAAAGUCUGAUAUCAGCCAGUGCAUUUGAAAGUUGGUCAGGCUGUUCGGAGAACAAACACUGCAGAUGGCAAGAACUUUGGAUGCAGCUUGAAAUAGAAAAGCUCACCCGAUGUUCAUGACAGGCUGACAGCCAAUUAUCAGCAUCUCUUUUCUUCAGAGUUCCUUUUUGUACAUCUUCCAUUCCGAUUCGGGACUUAAAAAGGAGGCCAUUUUUCCAGACAGUGAUUUCUUCCAAUAUCUCAUCUCCCGGUGCCUCUUUGUGCGUGUGUGUGUGUUUUUUAACACUCAGGCAGGCUCUCCCAUGGGGUUACUGUCUUGCAAGCCUUACAACUGCUGCCUACAAAGCCAAGAGGAAUGCAGACCGGUUGGUGGCUGCCCUUGUAUGUGUGAGGAUUGGAGAUACUGCUCUGACCACUGUUGUGACAUCUGCUGCCAGAUGUGUGUGGACCUGUGCUCUGGCUUGUGUUCAGGAGACUGCAGCUAUACUUUCUGCACAGUUUGUCUUGCUCUGGCGCAGAACUGCCUUUUACUUUUUACCGCCCGCCAAGGGGAAACAUCAGAGGCGCAACCCCCAGAACAGCUUGUAUAGCGGAGUGUCGGAGACAAAAGCAUGUGACCAGCAGCCUCGAAAUAACUCACAGAUUUUGAUUCAGGACUUGGCAGCGACCCACACUGCUAAAAGGACCAAUAACCGCCUUAAUGCCCCUGGUAUCAUUGUGCCUCAUUCGCCAGGAAACUCCACAGACCCAAGCAAAAGAUGAGAGACACCAUAAUGAACAAUGCAGGAAAGCUAAAAAAGAAACCUUGGCUUCCUUAACAUCUCAUCAGGGCCACAGACUGAUCGCCUGCAUGCUGUUCUUAUUUAGAAAUGCAUGUAAAUCUCUGGCUGUGUGUUGCAUGCACAUACUGUACAUGGACAUAAUUAUCAUCAGGUGGACACUUGUGCCUUUAAAUCCUAUUUAUAUUUUAAUUUGUGGUGUGUAACCUAACUUUCUGAGAAACUGAAAAGGGUGUUUUCAUUAGCUUUGAGUCAUAAUCCUCAAAAUUAACUGUAAUAAAUGCUUGAAAUGUAUCACUCUUUAUGCAAGACCAAUAAUAUAAAGGAUACAUGUGAUAUAUUUGAUGUGAUAAAUCCCAACAAACAUAUUUGAAAGUGGUUAAGUGUAUGAGUGUCUCUCCUUCAUAAUAUUUGUUGCUAACAGCUUUGCCUAACCAGCCUUCUGUUAAACCAGUUUAGAUAUUCAGAUUUAUUAACGCUAUUCUGCCUCUGCUAAUGUGCCUAAUUUGAGUACUUGACUGAGAGCACUUGUGAUUGCCUCUUUUACAGCCCUAAUAAAUCAUUUAAUGUAAUUUCAUUAGACAGUAUGUCUAGUCACCUAAGUAGCUCUUCAUCCACCAUGAGGACUGCAACAUUUUAAGGUUGAGAAUGUGAAUAUGGGUUUUGGUAGUAUUUCAUGUUUGUUUUAGUUUUCCCUUGUUGAGUUAUUAUGUCUGUGGUAACAGGUGUAAUAAUGUUUUUGUAGAGAAGAAUAAAUUGCUUUUCAUUUUCUUACGCUUGCUGAUUCAAUGCCAACAGCCAGUACUGUAUGUAAGUAUGCAAACCCUAAUUGCCAAAAUUGCCUUAAGCAUAGGAAGAUUAUAUGUUAGCCUGCAAGUGAUUAUAUGUUAGCUCAUUAGCAAACAAUAGUUAGCUUGUCAAGUUAAUUUAUGCAAAUUACACAUAUACAGAUUUGAUAAUUUAGAUUAAAUCAUGUUGAUAAAAAAAGUUAUUUGUUUGUUUUAGAGUGCAUUGUUAACAUGAAUAUUUUAUUCUACUGAGCUCAUAAUUAGACUGCGGGGGUGUUUUACUGCAGUGCUGAUGGAAGUUUCUGACAUUCUGUACUUCUGUUGGUCAUAAAGUAUUCUAAAGACAAGUGUAAUGGUUCGGGUCGACUGAAUAGUACAGCUCCACAAAGCACCUCCAUAACCAAGCCCCAUGCUUCCUCUCCAACCUGCUCCACCGUCACACUCCUUCCCGCAGCCUUCACUUCUCCGAUGCUAACCUCCUGUCUCCACCACUUAGAAUGAAGUCCCGGUCCUGGGGUGACAGAGCCUUCUCCACAGCUGCUCCCACCCUCUGGAGCCCUCUUCCCAAACACAUCUGAGACUGUACAGAUCUAUCCACAUUCAAAUCCUAUCUCAAAACUCACCUCUUCAGAAUAGUGUUUCAUGUAUCAUUAAUGUCCUUUUUAAUGCUGUCCAGUUCUAUGUACUUAAGUGUUUCUUUUUUUCACGUAUUUCACAAUGUUUGAUGUACAUAACUGUCCUUUUUGUAAUUUUACCUGAUUCUUGUAAAAUGUCUGAUUUUG